rnacentral:rRNA from 1 species
AUUGAACGCUGGCGGCAGGCCUACCCCCUGCUAGUCGAACGAGUGGCGGACGGGUGAGUAAUGUCUGGGAAACUGCCUGAUGGAGGGGGAUAAAUACUGGAAACGGUAGCUAAUACCGCAUACCAUAAGAUGUGCCCAGAUGGGAUUAGCUUGUUGGUGGGGUAACGUCUCACCCAGGCGACGAUCCCUAGCUGGUCGGAGAGGCGGACAAGCCACUCUGGAACUGAGACACGGUCCAGACUCCUACGGGAGGAAGCAGUGGGGAAUAGUGUACAAGUGGCGCAAGCCUGAUGCAGCCAGGCCGCGUGUAUGAAGAAGGCCUUCGGGUUGUAAAGUACUUUCAGCGGGGAGGCGUUACCCGCAGAAGAAGAACCGGCGAACUCCGUGCCAGCAGCCGCGGUAAUUC